GCAUUCAGCCUCAUGCCCUCAUCGGCGCAGCUUAUCUCUCCCAUAGUCCCACUCCUCACGACUUCACCAAGCCAUCAUCUCCGAUUCUCCGGAGGCUGCCGCUCACAGCCGUGUCUCCGUCUCCGGAAACCCUAGAUCUACCUACGAGGCUUCGAGUUUCUAGAUUUCUUCGGUGACUGAGGCAGAAAACAAGCACGUUGCACUCCAACAGUUGGUUGAAGUUUCUGUUGCUAAUGAUCAAUCUAUGUCGAAUAAGAAAGAUUAUAUGGAGGAUUCCAUUGAGAUUAUAAUUGAAAAAUUGCUUAAUGUUACCAAGGAUGGUGCUUCUAAAGUUGCAAGUGAAGCAAAACACUGUUUGACUAUAGUGUUGUCUCAACUCUCAAUAUGAUCCAUUCAGGUGUCUUAGUGUUAUCGCUCCUUUGCUUGCUGAAGACGAGAAGACUCUUGUAACCUAAGAAUUUCAAAGGUAUUUCACUAUUUUGUUUUCUCCAUGCAGUUAGUGUUCAAAUUUUCUUGUUGUAGUGUGUCACAUGUUAGAUGUCGGGAAGAGUCUCUUACAACUAAGAGAGAUGCACCUCAGAGCAAGCAAUACAGGUACUGGUUUUCUAUUUUUGAUUCUCAUAGUGGAAGGUUGCUCUGAAUCUAAUCUCUCAACAAUUAUACAUACUGAUGGAGUGAUGGGGGACAAACUGGUUGAACAAAGUUCACAUUGUGUCUUGGGAGACUACUGCUCACAGACAGGCGACAACCACUAGUCUCCAGCUCUCGUCUUCUCCGCAGGACUCCGGCUCUCCGACUUUCCACGCUCUCGGCUCUAAUGGUCUCACCCCUCUCAAGCUCUCGCUCCUGGUAACUCGGACUCUUUGAAAGAGACUGCUGGAGACGAACAAGGCCAAUCAAAUAUCCAGAUUUUUCAGCUAUCCAAUAUGCGGCCUCCUAUACCUAGAUUUUUCCAUUGGAAUCUGGGUAGCACCAGAAAUUUUCAAUCUGGCGGUUGAUUAUGGUGUUCACAAGCUUUGGGAGCACAACAAUGUUGGGGCAAUGAUUCCUUCUAUCUUGUACUCUUACAGUAGUACUAUAUGUUAUUUCAUGAUGAAAUUUACAGGGAAAAACACAAAAGAAAUUACUUAUGGAGUACUAGAUUUGAAGGCUUAUAGUAUUUGACUGGGGAGUACUAGAUUUGAAGGCUUAUAGUAUUUGACUGUUGGAAUUGCAUCCAUGUAUCAUAGUUUUUGUCUAUUCAUGAAAACAGUACCUGAAGUGUAUGAAAUGUCUAUAUGUUUUUCAGCAAA